AACGCAAAUUGCACUCUCUGGCAUUCCGGAGAGUAUGCCUGUUUGAGGGUCAGUAUAAAUAAAUCGGUAUGUUGCUUUUUCUGUAACGUUCCGGAGUUUGGGUUAUCUUAGCUUUUUAAGGUUUAAGAGACUUAAAAUUAAUAUCUUUUUUGCGCAUUUUAGACGUACAUAAAUUCUUUUUAUUCGUCUAUUCUAAUGCCAAAAUUUUAUUAGAUACAAUCAUAUCAUGUGGUUCCGUGUCUAUAAGUUUUUCAUAAUUUGACCUCAAAUCAGGUAGGAGUACCCGCUGAACUUAA
rnacentral:misc_RNA from 1 species